rnacentral:pre_miRNA from 1 species
GAAGUACUCCUUCCGUUCGGAAUUACUUGUCUUGGAAAUGGAUGUAUCUAGAACUAAAAUACAUCUAGAUACAUCCAUUUUUGCGACAAGUAAUUCCGAACGGAGGGAGUAAUAG